UAAUCAAACGCUGCCCUAAGCCCAGAUGCA
rnacentral:piRNA from 1 species